AAAGAAGUUUCACAGCAACACAUCUGAUUUGAAAGGACUAAGAAAAUACAGAAAAAAAAAAGAUAAAGUAGUCUAUAUCUGAAUAAGGAAGACUGAUCCAGUGAUGUCACAAAAACUAAGCAAAGGGGAGGAGAGUGAAUUAGGGCAUCUCUAGGUGUAAAUCACCAACACUGGAAGAGGAAGUUCUCAUUCCCUUUUUCAGGAAAUGUUAGUUUAUAAUGGUAAACCAAGGUAGCCCUUGCUACCAUCAGCACCUUCAGGCUUGAAGGAAUAUGUAUAUGGAGGCACGUCAGUUAAUUUCUUGCAUAUCAGUUUCAUCAUUGUGACUUCUUGCACGCCAGAUCUGAAAAGUAAUCAGGAACCUGACCCUCCGUGGAGCAUGGGAAAGCCCUUCAAGUCAGAGCACAAUGAAUCAUGAGCGUAAUCUGCAUUGAGUCAACUGUCUCAGAUCAGAGAGCUGCAAGCUGAGUCCUGGCAAAAGCCACAGCCUUAAAUUCCACUUAGUGGAAAAGAAGAAUAAAGAGGACUAAACAUCUUGCCCCAUUUCAGAAACUGCUCUCCAAGCCUGACACUUGAGUUCUGUGCUGAGCAACCAGAGUAACAAACGAUGAGUUUUUCAUGGGUCAAGCCAGCAUCCAAAAAUAUUUCAACAUGUAGCCAAAAGGAGAAAUGAAGCACUUAGGUGAUAGCAGGAUAUGAAUGCAUUUACUGCAACAGAGGAAUGUUACUGUCUAUGGGGAAAGAAGAUCUUUGUCAUCCCUUGUACAUAUUCAAAGCCAUACAGGAACAGGGCAUCAGUGAUGUUAAAUUGCUUAAAAGGAUGCUGUCUCCUGUCCUCCACCCAACUUUGAAGAAGUUCAGCUGUUAGAGAUUGCAUCUCAAUGCACUUCUAGUAUUUGCACUGUCACUUCCAUUCAGGGUAAUGAUGUGUGCCACUGUUUGCACAGACAGCCCCAGGAGAUUUUUGACCACAACAAGCUAUAUUUUGCUGGGGCUCCAAAAGGAAUAUAAAAGUUAGAACUGAAGAAAAACAUUUGUGCGCUCUUUCACUAUGGGGAUCUCUUCACUGAAAGGACUAUGGUCCUUUCUUAAGUUUAAAUAAAUACAUACAUAUACAUACAUAUAUAUAUAUGUAUAUAUAUGAAAAAGCAUCAACGUUAUAAGGUGUGUUUAAAAAGGGGAUAUAAUCUUUUUUAAUACCAUCCAUUUUUUAUCAUAUUAGCAGCCAAGAAAUUUAAUCUAUUGAAGUAUACAUCCAAACCGUUCCUGUUGAACACUGACAUAGUCCCAGUUACUGUUAAAGAAAAGAAGUCAUUUGUAAUAUGUAUUUGACAUAAUUUUUUUCUAGCCAUUUGUCUAUACUUCAUGGAGAAAUCUAACAGAUAAGCAGCAUUCCCAGUUUAUUUUUCUAAAUAAAUGUCUUGUUUAUAUUAUUUGCAGUCACUCAUUUUGGCUGAUUUUCAUAAUCUCCAAAAGUGAUUUAAAGACAGAACCAAAACACAGAAAUCAUUCGUUCAUGUUAAGCUGUAAUGAUUUGCUGACCAAAAGCUUUAAUAUAAAUAUUGUAAUUUGUAAACUGAUGAAGUAUAUUUAUACCGGCAAAUAUGUAUGGUAAACAAGAGGAGGUAUUUUAACUCUUAAUUUCAGAACAUAGUUUAUUUUAAUAUCCACAUGAAGAAAUCUAAAUAUAUAAUGGGAUAGAUUUUUUAUUAUCAGUAAGUUUUAGCAAUUAAAAUUUGGAUGUUUAAAUGAAAGGAUUGUAGUCUAAUAAUAGUAGUUUCCCAAAUUACACAAAAAUCUUUCAUCAACUGUCUCAUUUUAUUCAAAAACUAUUUUUGCUGUUGAUUUUUGUUUUGUUUUGUUUUGUUGUUCUUUUUUGUUUGUUUGUUUGUAUGCUUUUAGUGUACUGAAAAGGCCAUGAAGAUGAUACCAAUUGAUCACAAAAAAAUUGAAAAGUUAUGGGAUAAGAGGUUGUUCCUUAGAACAAUCUACAGUUUACAGUUAAGAACAGUUAUUUUUAUUCAUCUACUGCAGUGAUUUGUUAUCAAGUUAUUGAAAAUUUCAAUGCUAGCACUCUUUUGAAUAAAAAUAUUUUCCUUUUUUCUUAGUCCAUUAGCCUGUGUGUAAUUUUAAGAGAAAAGUAAAACAUGUGAUUCCCCAUUCACUUAAAGCAUUCAUCUUAAAUCCAGUCAUGUGUAUCUGAUUUAUAGUUUUUUAGUUUUGUUGUUGUUGUUGUUGUUGUUGUUGUUGUAGUUGUUUUUUCUUUAAUUCCAUUGCUCUUUGGAACCUAUUAAGUGCUCACUAAGAGAAAAAUGUUCUUUCAAAAACAGCAACAACAAAUGGAAAAUCUGAGCCAUUUUUCACAUGUGGGUUAACCUUGUAAUAGGCAGAUGUUUUAAAAAUGUAUUGCUCUGCUCUAGUGUACUAACAAGUGUAUGCGUGUGUUUGUGUGUGUGUGCACGCAUGCGCAUCCCUACCUGCUGAUGAAUGCCAGCUCUGCUGAAGUAAGUGCCCCAAGUCCUGUUAUUGCAGGAGAUGCUCAUGUUGUAUAUUUUGGAAAAAAACUUGAGUGCUGUCUUUGCAUGUGACUCUGAAGCCAUAAAUAAAUUUACAGUUUUUUUGUGAAAUAAUCAAAUGAAUUAAUUAAGAGAAUAUUAGUCUCCCAUAUUGGCAAAACUCGGGAUCAUCUCAUGGUUUGACUCUCUUUUCAAGGAAAGCUAGAGGGCAAUUUCCACUGGUGCAGUUGAUAAAUGAAACCUUUGUAUCUGCUGAAGAAUGAUGACUGUGUUUUUUUUUUUUUUUCCCACAAAUUUUAUCUUAUGGUUUGCUUAAAGACUUUUAAAUAUGACUUUAUUUCUUUGUCAUUAGAGUCAUAUAUUUGGACACACAGCUUGCAUGGGUUUGGUUAUGUACACUCUUUGGAUAGCCUGUGUUUUAAAACUGGGGAUCUUACUCCUUCAGACUAAUAUUCAGAGUUGUUUAAUGAAGGGACAUUAUCAAAAUAGUAAGAAAAUUUCAGAAUGAUAAUUUGAGCACUUUCAUUAUCAUCUAGUAAUAUUUGGAAAAUCUCUGUUUUUUAUUUAUUUUAUUUUAUUUUAUUUUAUUAUUUUAUUUUAUUUUAUUUUAUUUUAUUUUAUUUUAUUUUAUUUUAUUUUAUUUUAUUUUUUGUGAACAGAAUGCAUUCAUUUAUAUUUGAAAAUAGCCCAAUAAAAGUCUCAUGAAAUAA